GGGGGAUUCUUUGAUCCCCUGGGAUUGCAGCGUGGACUGCACGGCUGCGGGGAAGAGGCUUGACCAUGGGUGUUGGGGAAAACACGCUUCAGGCUCACUACGCCGAUCUGUCGCCCUCCCCCGGUGCCCACUCCUCGCCGUCCUCGCAGUCCUGGGAGCCUGGGCUCCUCGGGACUGCUCGCUCAGAGGUCACAGGACGCCGAGCGGGGACUGCCCGGCGCGGGUAGAGCAGAAGGAAGGAGUGAAGGGAGAGGGCGGCUGCCGGUGGGAAUGCGCGUUCUUCCCAGGAAGCGGAGCGGGACUGCCGCGUUCCCCUCGAUUUGCACCGUCAGCCGGGCCUGCCGUUUGGACAGAAGAGGGAGGCGCUGUGCGUGUCGCGGUGUCCCCGGACGCGGGCGCACAGAGUAUACGUGCGUGUGUGUGUGUGUGUGUGUGUGUGUGUGUGUGUGUGUGUGUAUCUGCGCCGCUGUCGCAGUGCUCAGGGCCUCGAGAGCGUCCGGAGCGAGUUCGAGGGUCACCUCCAGCAAUUCGCAGAAACUGAAAGAGGGGAGGACACACCUCCUUCCUCGGGAGGACUUGGAAGACUUUGCAUCUCCCCUCCCCCACUUUUCCGCCCGGCUCUUCUUUUGUUGUCAAGUCCUUUUGAUAAAUGGUGGGGCUGGAAGCGCUGGGAGCCUGGAGUCCGUCUGUGCCGCGCGGGGCGGGGGCCGGGUUUCGACCGGCGCGCACCCGGAGCGGAGCCGGGUACGCGCGGGGGUCCAGACUGGGACCUACCCUCACCCCUUUCCCCCUUCUGUCUGUUUCCCACUCCGCAAGGGUACAGAGAACUUUCUGGGAAUCGACGAGAUUUCUCUGACUGUCAUUUGCAUUGAAUUUAUCCGAAUAAAUCCAACUCUCAGGCAUCCAGCAGAACCCGCUCUCUACUGGCAAGCACUGUGCGAUGCACCCGGCCCAGCCAGGGUUGCGGGGUGGCUCCCGGGGCUCAGGGCGGCAGGUCUGACCUCCGAGGUCGGUGCACCAAAGGAAGGCACCCUCAGCUCCAGCGGCUUCUCGCUGCUCAGCGGUGUCUGGCGCCUUCACUUUGCUUAAUGCCUCGGGAACUUGCCUGGCUGAGUCCGCCAGCAGCGAAAAACUGAAAGCAAACUCUACUGCAGACGUAGCCUGAACUUUUCUCGACCCAAGUUUGCAACCAAGAUUGGUGACGGCUUUGGGAGGACCUCGGGCUUGGGAGUGCGCUGGCGCGGGGCAGGGUGGGGUCAAAGAGGGCACAGGAUGGCCGCGCCUGGCCGGAGGCGAAAAUGCUAGGGAAGCCUUCCACUCCACUCCUACUUCUUUACAACUCUGCGGCUCCGAAUGGUAAAAAAGAAAAGAAAGAGUAAGUUUCCAACCUGCCACGAACGCCCAGGCUGGAUCACACUAGGGGGCAACUCGAAGGGGCCGGACUUUUAAAACUUGCUGAAAGCUUGGCUCAGAAGCGUCAUCCCACGAAGCUCAAGAAAACUGAGGACCCUUUCACCUCCUUUGGGACGGAAUAGUCAGGAGCCAGUCCGGGCACCCCUCUGCCUACUUCUUUAUCCUGGCCUCGAACAAGAGGUUAAGUAACUACCCACCGACACUGUGGAGCUGCAAACUUUCAGCUCUGCGCUGCGAUCCACAGAAGAGGCCUGGACAUAGAGGGGCGGGAAAGACCACUCCUCCGCCCCCUCGACCCCAGGAGAGAUCUGCACCGGGAUGGCCGGGCGAGUGCGGUUCCCACAUGUCUGUUCCGAUGCUCAGAGCUGAUCCCCCAACUCCGGGCAGCCGGCGCUUUUCCCCUGAGUUUCGGAUUUAGGGAGCCCGCGGAGGGGCGCAAAGUGCGCGCGCGGACUGGCGCGGGGGCGGCCGCUCAUCUCACCGCGGGGCCUGUCGCCGGGCUGGCCGCGGCGGGUGAGUGAUGAGGGCAGAGAAGGGCGCCCAUAAAUCGUGGGUGUCAGGGCGAAAAACUCUCUUUAUUGUCUGCGUGAUGGAUGGGCCCGGGGACGAGACACCAAAUACUUCGUAUCGCCUUUAAAUGGGAACACAUUUUCCGCGGCCAUAAUUCAUGUUUUUUAAAUAGAAAGUUUGAAAUGUUGCCUAUAUUUCACCAGCCCUGACAUAUUUAUGAAUCGCUCCCUGCAUGCAAAUAUCAUUAUUUAAAGCGCCAGGGAGAGCGCGGGGGAGGGGAGAAGGCGCGGUCCCCG
ensembl:lincRNA